UAGGGAAUAUUGCUCAAUGGGGGAAACCCUGAAGCAGCAACGCCGCGUGGAGGAUGAAGGUUUUAGGAUUGUAAACUCCUUUUGUAAGAGAAGAUUAUGACGGUAUCUUACGAAUAAGCACCGGCUAACUCCGUGCCAGCAGCCGCGGUAAUACGGAGGGUGCAAGCGUUACUCGGAAUCACUGGGCGUAAAGAGCGCGUAGGCGGGAAAGUAAGUCAGAUGUGAAAUCCUGUGGCUUAACUACAGAACUGCAUUUGAAACUGCUUUUCUAGAGUAUGGGAGAGGUAGGUGGAAUUCUUGGUGUAGGGGUAAAAUCCGUAGAGAUCAAGAGGAAUACUCAUUGCGAAGGCGACCUGCUGGAACAUUACUGACGCUGAUGCGCGAAAGCGUGGGGAGCAAACAG
rnacentral:rRNA from 1 species